rnacentral:rRNA from 1 species
GAUGAACGCUAGCGGCAGGCCUAAUACAUGCAAGUCGAACGGUAACAUGAGUAGCAAUACUUGAUGACGAGUGGCGCACGGGUGCGUAACGCGUAUGCAAUCUACCUUCAACUGGUGAAUAGCCCGAAGAAAUUCGGAUUAACACACCAUAGUAUAAUAGAGUGGCAUCACUUUAUUAUUAAAACUCCGGUGGUUGAAGAUGAGCAUGCGUGACAUUAGCUAGUUGGUGAGGUAAUGGCUCACCAAGGCA